rnacentral:rRNA from 1 species
UGAAGCGGCAACAGCUCAAAUUUGAAAUCUGGCCCUCGGGUCCGAGUUGUAAUUUGGAGAGGAUGUUUCUGGCGCGGCGCCGUCCGAGUUCCUUGGAACAGGACGCCAUAGAGGGUGAGAGCCCCGUACCGGCGGAUGCCUAGCCUUUGUGAAACUCCUUCGACGAGUCGAGUAGUUUGGGAAUGCUGCUCAAAAUGGGAGGUAAAUUUCUUCUAAAGCUAAAUAUUGGCCAGAGACCGAUAGCGCACAAGUAGAGUGAUCGAAAGAUGAAAAGCACUUUGAAAAGAGGGUUAAAAAGUACGUGAAAUUGUUGAAAGGGAAGCGCCUAUGACCAGACUUGCGGCUUAUGGACCACCCGGUGUUCUCACCGGUGCACUCCGUAGGCUGCAGGCCAGCAUCGGUUUUCCCAGGGGGACAAAGGCCUCAGGAACGUAGCUCUUUCGGGAGUGUUAUAGCCUGGGGUGGCAUGCCUCUGGGGAGACCGAGGACCGCGCUUCGGCAAGGAUGCUGGCGUAAUGGUCAUCGGCGACCCGUCUUGAAACACGGACCAAGGAGUCAAGCAUUGGAGCGAGUGUCUGGGUGCCAAACCCGCACGCGAAAUGAAAGUAAACGCAGGUGAGAGCUUCGGCGCAUCACCGACCGAUCCUGAUGUCUUCGGAUGGAUUUGAGUAAGAGCUUUAACGCUUGGACCCGAAAGAUGGUGAACUAUGCCUGAAUAGGGUGAAGCCAGAGGAAACUCUGGUGGAGGCUCGCAGCGGUUCUGACGUGCAAAUCGAUCGUCAAAU